GAUGAACGCUGGCGGCGUGCCUAAUACAUGCAAGUCGAGCGAACGGACGAGAAGCUUGCUUCUCUGAUGUUAGCGGCGGACGGGUGAGUAACACGUGGAUAACCUACCUAUAAGACUGGGAUAACUUCGGGAAACCGGAGCUAAUACCGGAUAAUAUUUUGAACCGCAUGGUUCAAAAGUGAAAGACGGUCUUGCUGUCACUUAUAGAUGGAUCCGCGCUGCAUUAGCUAGUUGGUAAGGUAACGGCUUACCAAGGCAACGAUGCAUAGCCGACCUGAGAGAGUGAUCGGCCACACUGGAGCUGAGACACGGACCAGACUCCUACGGGAGGCAGCAGUAGGGAAUCUUCCGCAAUGGGCGAAAGCCUGACGGAGCAACGCCGCGUGAGUGAUGAAGGUCUUCGGAUCGUAAAACUCUGUUAUUAGGGAAGAACAUAUGUGUAAGUAACUGUGCACAUCUUGACGGUACCUAAUCAGAAAGCCACGGCUAACUACGUG
rnacentral:rRNA from 1 species